rnacentral:rRNA from 1 species
AUUGAACGCUGGCGGCAGGCCUAACACAUGCAAGUCGGACGGUAGCACAGAGGAGCUUGCUCCUCGGGUGACGAGUGGCGGACGGGUGAGUAAUGUCUGGGGAUCUGCCCGAUAGAGGGGGAUAACCACUGGAAACGGUGGCUAAUACCGCAUAACGUCGCAAGACCAAAGAGGGGGACCUUCGGGCCUCUCACUAUCGGAUGAACCCAGAUGGGAUUAGCUAGUAGGCGGGGUAAUGGCCCACCUAGGCGACGAUCCCUAGCUGGUCUGAGAGGAUGACCAGCCACACUGGAACUGAGACACGGUCCAGACUCCUACGGGAGGCAGCAGUGGGGAAUAUUGCACAAUGGGCGCAAGCCUGAUGCAGCCAUGCCGCGUGUAUGAAGAAGGCCUUCGGGUUGUAAAGUACUUUCAGCGGGGAGGAAGGCGGUGAGGUUAAUAACCUUGCCGAUUGACGUUACCCGCAGAAGAAGCACCGGCUAACUCCGUGCCAGCAGCCGCCGUAA